rnacentral:rRNA from 1 species
CCCUUAGAUGUUCUGGGCCGCACGCGCGCUACACUGAUGCAUUCAACGAGUCUAAAACCUGCUCUGAUAGGGGUGGGUAAUCUUUUGGAUGUGCAUCGUGAUUGGGAUAGAUGAUUGCAAUUUUUCAUCUUCAACGAGGAAUGCCUAGUAAACGCAAGUCAUCAGCUUGCAUUGAUUACGUCCCUGCCCUUUGUACACACCGCCCGUCGCUCCUACCGAUUGAAUGAUCCGAUGAAUAUCAUGGAUUGAGGAUGCAAGCAGGUUCGCCUGUCUUCAUCUUCGAGAAGUGAAGUAAAUCUUAUCAUUUAGAGGAAGGAGAAGUCGUAACA